rnacentral:lncRNA from 1 species
AAAAGCCUCCUGUAGACAAGAUAAUGCACAUGUAAUGGUUUGAAUUUAUAAUAAACGUUUUCAGAUUAAUGUUUGAUCAUUAUCUUAAAAUAUGACAUUUAUACACUCGGAUAUAGGGCCACCACCCGGUUUUGAUAAAAGGGAAAUAAAAGAAACAAAAGUUUAAUACCGAAAUUUAGGUUACACUAUACAAUAACCAUGACUUAUAAAUUGUAAAUAGACCAUUUAUAAAUGGUAAGCAGAUAGUUUAUUAAGUUUAAUCAUCAUUUAUAAAUCGUAUAUAGACCAUUAAUAAAUUGUAAAUUUUACAAUUUUAAAAAUCUAACCCUACCCUAACCCUAAAUUUACAAUAACCAUCUAAGUAAAGUUUAUAGGUGGUUUAUAAACCAUUCAUUAACCAUUUACAAAGUGCUACUGCCACACAUUUUAAUCUAGAUGUUUUACAACCAAUAUUUAAACCCUGUAUAAAACUUUAAUAAAUAGUCUAUAAAUAAUUGUUGAAAAUUAUUCAUCAUAAUUUUAUUGCUUGUGAAUGGUAAAGUAACUAUUAUCUUACAUUAAUAAACCAUCUAUUUGCCAUUUAGAAUUGGUUUAUAUGCUGUUUUUACAUGAUGAUUAAACAUUAAUAAAAUAUCUAUUUACCAUUUAUAAAUUAUGGUUAUUGUAUAGUGUUACCAAAAUUUAACAUUAAGUCAAUCUUAGAUUCAUUUUUAAUCAAUGUCAUAUCUCAUAUAAGGCAACAAUCUGCAUGCUUUUCUUAAAGUAGUCCCAAUUAAGGAGUUUUUCAGUGAAUCCUACAAUUCUUUAAUAGUUAAACUUACUUUAUUAGUUCAUUACAACCAACAUGCCUUGUUUUGCCCUCUACAAGCUUAAUUAAGUUGGACUAACUUCAUUUUCAGUUAAAAGUUUUGGCGAUAUGUAAUUGUCCUCACAACUAAAGGACUAGUGCUCGAUACUGGAUGUAACUCUUUACUCUUUUUAUAAAAGAAUAUUAAACAAACAACAACUCGAAGUACAAAAGAAAACAUUUUGUAACAACAAGUUGUGGGAAAAUCAUAAACACAUCACAUAUUUUCCUGAGUAAAAGCAUUUGGAAGUUGUGAGAGGCAUAUUUUCCAAAGACAAAAAAGGUCAGUAAAACUUGGUAUGUUUCCUUUAUAUAUGAAGAUAAAGAGAAAUUGAAAAUGAGUUUUUGUUGAAAAUGCUUCAGAAACUCGUGAUGAAACUGAUUUAUGCUUGUUUUUAAGCCUUUCUGCUUUCUGCUUUUAUCAAUUAGUAUGGACUUAAUAUCAUUAAAGUCUGAGAACAAACACAAGGUUCAUAUAGGUAUGAUUGUUUGCAGGACUGUUGUAGCAAUAUUGGAUUGUUUUUAUCAAGGAGAACGAAAUGAACUGGAAACUUUAUCUGCAUCAAUAAAACAGCAUAUACCCCACAGUGCAACAUUUCCCACACUUUUACUGCAGCAGUCUUUUUUUCAGAGACGUUACCUUGAACUGGCUUUCAGGUCAUCUAGUUUAAGGAAUAUCUUUUGAACACCUCAAAUGUUAACACCAGUUUUCUGGGCCACUGAGGUCGAGUACAUACAGUUGAGGCCAAAAUUAUUAGCCCCCAUAUGAAAUUUUUUUUUUUUUUUCCAAAAUUUGGAUGUGCUGUUAAACAGAUUAAUGAUUUUUUUACACAGCUUUUCCAAAUAUCCUAGUUUUAAUUUGGAUCCUUACAUUAUUUUACUUUGCACACAGAAACAAAAUUAUUUCAGAAAAUCCCAAAACUACCAGGGUCAAAAUGAUUAGCCCCCUCAAGAAUUUACAUUUUCAUUGAGCCAAAACAAAAACCACUGUUGUGCAAUCACGUGCUUUCACUUUCCAGUGCUCACAACUUUUAAUAAACAAAUAAGUUAAAACAAAGGGUUGUCCUACACUUUUCACACAGUAUAAAAACCUUGUUACGCAUUUGAGCCGUCACUUGAGAAAGAAUCAUGGCAAAUACAAAAGAAUUCAGUUUAGACUUGAGAAAAAGAAUUGUUGAUGCUCACAAAGCAGGAGAAGGAUAUAAAAAUUUAUCACAGUGUUUCCAAGUGUCAAGAGGUGGAGUGAGAAGUAUCAUCAAGAAAUUCAAGGAGAGCCACACAGUACAGAACAACUCUGGGAGAGGUAGGAAGUGAAAAUUUUCAAAGAAACUGGAAAGAAAACUGGUGGGAGAUGUGUCUAAACAACCAAGAACAACCACCAAAACAGUAGUUGCUGACUUAGCCGAGUCAGGAAUUGUGGUGUCAAACAAGACAGUCUCUGGAGGCCUGAACAGAAAUGGACUGUGAGGAUGCAGGCCAAGAAAAACUCCACUUCUACAAAAGAGACACCUUCAAAUCAGACUGAGGUAUGCUAAGGACAAUCUGGAGAAUGAUUGUUCAAACUGGAGAUGUGUUCUUUGGUCAGAUGAGACCAAACUAGAGCUCUUUAGUCACAGAGACAUUGCUUAUGUUUGGAGAAAGAAGGGAGAGGUGUAUAACCCCAAGAACACUGUCCCCACAGUUAAACACAGUGGUCGGAGUAUCAUGCUGUGGGGAUGCAUCUGGAUCUGGGAAUCUUGUCAAAAUUGAAGGAAUAAUGAACAAAGAAGGAUAUGUGAAGAAAACCUCAAGCAGUCAGCAGCAAAAUUGGGUCUGGGUCAUCACUUUGUCUUCCAACAUGACAAUGACCCAAAAUAUACAGCGCUCCUGGUGAGGAGCUGCCUCCAGGAAACCAAAGUGAACGUUAUUGACUGGCCUGCACAAAGCCCUGACUUGAAUCCUAUUGAAAUCUGUGGGCUGCAAUGAAGACCAGGGUCCAUGCUAGAAGACCAUCACUGGAACAUCUCUCCCUGUCAUUAAGACCAUCUAUGACAGUCGGUGCCUGAGGAAGGCUCACAGCAUCAUCAAAGACCCCUCUCAUCCCAACCACGGACUGCUCACCCUCCCUAUUUAUUAUUUAUCACUAUAAUACACAUAAUUAUUUAUUAAAUUCCCACUACUUCCUUACCUUUGAAAUAAUGUAUCACUAGCACUGACAUGUUUACUUUGCACUCUGGUGAGAUGCGAAAAUACUUUUCGCUGUACUGUACUUGUACUUGUACUGUACAUUGACAAUAAAUUGAAUCUCAUCUCAUCUCUCAUCUGGAGGAGCUUGGAAGAUUUGCCAAAGAGGAAUGGGCUGGGAUUCCUCGGGAGAGCCUUGUUACAAACUACAGCAAACGACUGCAUGCUGUUAUCCAGCAAAAAGGACACACAGUUGACUAUAAGCCUGAGGGGGGCUAAUAUUUUUGACCCUGGUAGUUUUUGGUUUUUGUGAAAUAAUUUUGUUUCUGUGUGCAAAGUAAAAUAAUGUAAGGAUCCAAAUUAAAACUAGGAUGUUUGGAAAAGCUGUGUAAAAAAAUCAUUAAUCUGUUGAACAGCACUUAAGAAAUUUUGGAAAAAAACUUUUCAUAGGGGGGCUAAUAAUUUUGGCCUCAACUGUAUGUCAGCCCCAUCAGCAAUUAUGCACAGGCUCUGUCUGCAUCCAGGUUUUCCAGAACAACAGUUCUUUUCAGCACAAUCUGAUCACAGGAUAAAAGCUCAGAGCAUCCAAGCCCUCUGAGUUUAGAUCUAUAGUUGCCCAUUUUAUAUUUCAGUCUUUGUUUCCAUCCAUAACAUCUGUUUCUAAGGUCAUGUUAUUUACAGUACCCAAAGUGUAUGCCUUUAAGAAUGCAUGUGUGAACGUUAAACAAAAGGAAACAAAAGGAAGUGGCCCCUGUAUGGGAUGUUAUUUCUCAUCAGCUCCUUGUAGUUGAUUGCGUCCUCACGUUGCUCUUAAAUGCUUAUAUAUCUUGCAGCAGAGUGCCCUCUAGUGCUCUCUGCUGCUCCGUUGAUCAGGUCCCAGCAAAGCCAGUGCAGCCUGUUUGAGACUUUACAGUCAGCAGCAGGCAGUACGCACUGUGCCAAGCAAUGAUAUUAUAUAGAUGUAGGUGUGUCAUUUGGGGUCAUGCACUAGGAAAGAGACACUGUUUUUUUUUGGAAGACGAUGGGAGAGGCAGAAAAUUUUUUGUUUUGUUAAAUUGCCUGAAUUAAUUUAUCAAAAGAACAGGUCUCAAAUGGAACUUUCUUAUUACCUGAGUACAACCCAACUGGAUCAGUGCAUCGUCAGCCAUUUGUUGAAGUCUAGUCCAGUUUGGCUUGUUUUUUUUUGUGUGUGUGUUUGUUUUUUUAACAAAUAGCCACUGUACAAUGUGCACGGGGAAAAAAGGUUGCUUGGGGGCCUUUGGGUGUUGGUUUUCUUACAGCCUAUUAUGGAAACAGAGGUGAGCUAUUUUUUAAGCUCCUGUAAGAAACCUUUGGUUUGUGCCAGUUUUGGCAGUUCCUGUAGACAAAUGAGUCUUUGCUAAUGUACCAAUUGUAUCUUUUAAUAUGGAUAAUUUAUUGGGAAAUUGUAAAACAGGGAUGUUGCUGAUAGUCUUCAACAAUGCUUCAACCUCUAAACAACCCAACUUUUAGGUUCUACAUUUGGUUCCCAUUUUUCAAACUGAGUGUGUUCUGCUCCACCCAGCUCUUUCAGCCUUUGUCUCUCAGGUUCAAACUGAAUUUUUCAGUCACUCCUUUGUUUAAUUUCUCACACAAGCACAAAGACAUACAUUGUGAAUGUAUAGUGUUUCAAGAGUGUAUGCUGUUGCAGGCCCUGGCAAUUUAUGUGCUUUAUGUGGGCCUGAGAUUCUUUCCCUUUAAUUCCAGGAGGAAGUGAAAAGGGGAAUCUUCCAAAGCUUUUACACUGAUUCUGUAGCUGUUUUGUCUGCUAAAGGUUAACUCUGUGGUGAUCAAAUAAAAUGUUUGACUCAUCCUCUUAACAAAUACCACAGUUUUAUCCACAAGUGAUGUAAGUUUAGUAGCAAAACCUACACUUUUCUCUGUUUGUACUUUUGUUUUUAUUCUUCUUGAGCCAUGGUGACAGAGUUUUAUGAAACAGGUUUAAUGAAUGCUCUGAGAUGCAUUUUUGCAUUUAUAGAAUGGCUUUUGACAUUCUGUAAAAAACCACGGAGGUUGUCAAUAAUACUUUAUUUAUCAGUCUUGAUGCAUGUAGUUUGUCUGGGGAAAAAAAAAACUAAUCUAAGUAGCCCUUCAUAUAGGCCUACAAGCCUCUGUCUGCCUACACAUAUGUAUACAUUUGUUAAUCCAUAUAUUUCAGCAGUGAGUUUGUGGAGAGGAUCUCAGAUUGCUAGUUCCUGGGUGUGCUCACAGAGGAGGACGUGACUUAAUGAGUUCAGGCUAAUACUACAGGACUGGUGAAGAAGGCACAGCAGAGACUUUGUUUCAUGAGGAUCCUUAAGGAGGAAUCUACACUUCAAAUCUGCUCCACAGAAAGCAUACUGACUUACUGAAUCUUGUGUGAGGUUUGCCAGCUGCACAGCAGCAGUAAAGAAAGUGCUCCAUGGGGUCGUCACCGCAGCUCAGAGGACCACAGGGUCCCUCUACCCUCCCUGGAAGAUCUUGACAGUCCCUGCUGUCUCUACAAAGCUCAGGGUCUUUUAUAAGAUCCCACCCACCCCGGACACUGUCUGUUUGAACUGCUGCUGUUAGGCAGAUGUUUCAGGCCAACGAAAACAAGAACAAACAGACUGAGAGACAGUUUCCAUCCCAGAUCCAAAGCUGCACUUACUGCUGCCAAAACUUGAACUGUGCAAAAUAAAAAACAUUUAACCCUGCAACCUCUACUCGCAGAAUAAAGCAGCUGCCUUAAAUGUAUAGUAUGUUCUGUUUUUCUUUUAGUUUUUCUUUCCUUUUAUGAAUCCAACCCCUUUUAUUUGUUUGUGUAGCCAACCCUUAUCUUGACAUUUGCACUUGACCAUUUGCACCUGAUUGCAUCCAAUGUUGUUGCGCAUAGACAGUGAUAAUACUGAUAUUUUUCUGUUCUAUUCUAUACUGCCCACAGCUAAUAGGCCUUAAAUUUAAAGCUUUUACAAACUUAAUGAAGCCCUUUGAGUCUGGGUUUGUAUAGUAUCGACUUCUCAAUUUUUCCAAAUUUUUUUUUCAUCAGAAGUUUCUUUUGGGUACUUGCUUUUGUUUGUUGCCUUUAGACCAAUUACAGCAGACUUCAACGGUUACAGUUGAAAUCUAAAAAAAAAUAAAUAAAUAAAUUCGGUCACUUGUUCUGUAGAUUUAGUAGACUGCAUAAUUUUUAAUGUUUUGUUUGGAGUACUUGAUUAUUAACAGAAGUGUCUUAAAACGUGUUUUUUGGUCGUGCACUCGCAUAAGGAUAGGUGCAAUGAAAGUAAAAUGAGCUGUGUUAGUGACUGUACACGAUGAAGUGAUGUUCUAUGAUCAGUCGAUGUUUCGAUCACAGCUUUAUUUUGAAAGUAUAACAGGAAGUGCACAGUUUGCUGUGUAUGACUUGACAGUGGAUAACGGAAGUGUCGCGUGACUGACUGGCGUCUAGAACACAUCUGGUAACGACCACUUUUCCCCUACAUAUUUGUUUCAAAUUUAGAGCAGCAUCAAUUUCUUCAUUUCCCUAUGUUGCAGUGUCAACGUUGACUGGACUUCUGAGUUACUGAUUUUUUACUAGACUUAAGGUUGUUACCGUUUACUUUAUGUUAACGGUCCCGGUUGGGUUGUCCCCCCCUGUGAAAACAGGGUGUAGCAGACGAGAAACCACAAAGUUCGGACACACACGUUUUUCCACGUAUUUCACAAGUUAAUUCUCGUAUUGUGAGGGCGUUGAGUAGUAAAUUAGAUCAAAAUUAGGUGAAAUGAACCGUUGAAGCCGGAGGCAUGGAACUGCAGGUGGUUUGGUGUUUGGUGUACGUUGCUGUUUUAACAAGUUAUCGUUCUGUAGUGAAGUGUUUUUGGAUAAUGACUGAGCCGGUCUAUUUUCAGUCUUUUAGAGCAAUAUGUUGACUUGAAUUUACUUUAAAUAGGGGGUUUAAUGUUUGAAGGCGUGUGGCUGUUUGUGGACUUAAGGAGUCAUCGGCGAGGCUCGUCCGUUACCGGUGUUCUGCCCAAGAGUGCUUCCUGUCGAGAUUUUCUACAGACCAUCCUGAGGCUGAAAAAAAGAAGAAAUCCAUCAGAGAGACAGCAGAAAUGUUAGGAGUGGCCAAAUCAACAGUUUGGUACAUUCUGAGAAAAAAAAAAGAGUGCACCGGUGAGCUUGGGAACUCAAAAAGGCCUGGACGUCCACAGGAGUCAGCAGUGGUGGAUGAUCGCAGAAUCCUUCCCAUGGUGAAGAAAAACCCUUCACAACAUCCACUCAAGUGAAGAAUACUCUCCAGGAAUUAGGUGUAUCAGUAUCGAAGUCUACCAUAGAGAGAAGACUUCAGGUGCAAACCAUCAAUCAGCCUCAGAAAUAGAAAAGCCAGAAUUGACUUUGCCAAAAAAACACCCGAAGAAGCCAUCCCAGUUCUGGAACAGCAAUCUUUGGACAGAUGAGACUAAGAUCAACCUGUACCAGAAUGAUGGGAAGAAGAAAAGUUUGGAGAAGAAUUGGAACAGCUCAUGAUCCACAGCACACCACAUCUUCUGUAAAACAUGGUGGAGGCAGUGUGAUGGCAUCGGCAUGCAUGGCUUCCAAUGGCACAGGGUCACUUGUGUUUAUUGAUGAUGUGACAAAAGACUGAAGCAACCAGAUAAUUUCUAAAGUGUACAGCGAUAAACUUUCUGCUCAGAUUCCGCCAAAUGCAGCAAAGUUGAUUGGAUGGCACUUCACAGUACAGGUGGACAGUGAUCCAAAACAUACUGCAAAAGCAACCCAGGAUUUUUUUUUCAAAGCAAAGAAGUGAAAUAUUCUGCAAUGACCGAGUCAAUCACCAGAUCUCAACCCAGUCGAGCAUGCAUUUCACUUGUUCAAGACAAAACUCAAGGCAGAAAGACUAACAAACAAGCCGCAACUGAAGACAGCUGCAGUAAAGGCCUGUCAAAGCAUCACAAAGGAGGAAACCCAGCAUUUGGUGAAGUCUAUGGGUUCCAGACUUCAGGCAGUCAUUGCCUGCAAAGGAUUCUUAACAAAAUAUUAUAAAGUAACAUUUUACUUAGGGUUAUGUUUAUUUGUCCAAUUACUUUUGAGCCACUGAAAUGAGGAGCGUUAGUAGAAAAAUAUUUUCAAUUCCUGCACGUUUAAUCAUACAUUUUUGUCCAACCCCAUGAAUUAAAUCUUAAAGUCUGCAUUUCAA